UACGAAGGGUGCAAGCGUUGUUCGGAUUUACUGGGCGUAAAGCGUGCGUAGGCUGUGCUAUGAGUCGAAGGUGAAAUCCCCGAGCUCAACUCGGGAACUGCCCUCGAGACCGUAGCACUAGAGUACUGAAGGGGCCGGUGGAAUUCCAUGUGUAGCGGUGGAAUGCGUAGAUAUAUGGAGGAACACCUGUGGCGAAGGCGGCCGGCUGGUCAGAGACUGACGCUGAGGCACGAAAGCGUGGGGAGCAAACAGG
rnacentral:misc_RNA from 1 species